GACGAACGCUGGCGGCGCGCCUAACACAUGCAAGUCGAACGAGCGAGAGAGAGCUUGCUUUCUCGAGCGAGUGGCGAACGGGUGAGUAACGCGUGAGGAACCUGCCUCAAAGAGGGGGACAACAGUUGGAAACGACUGCUAAUACCGCAUAAGCCCACAGGUCGGCAUCGACCAGAGGGAAAAGGAGUAAUCCGCUUUGAGAUGGCCUCGCGUCCGAUUAGCUGGUUGGUGAGGUAACGGCCCACCAAGGCGACGAUCGGUAGCCGGACUGAGAGGUUGAACGGCCACAUUGGGACUGAGACACGGCCCAGACUCCUACGGGAGGCAGCAGUGGGGAAUAUUGCACAAUGGGGGAAACCCUGAUGCAGCGACGCCGCGUGGAGGAAGAAGGUCUUCGGAUUGUAAACUCCUGUUGUUGAGGAAGAUAAUGACGGUACUCAACAAGGAAGUGACGGCUAACUACGUGCCAGCAGCCGCGGUAAAACGUAGGUCACAAGCGUUGUCCGGAAUUACUGGGUGUAAAGGGAGCGCAGGCGGGAAGACAAGUUGGAAGUGAAAUCUAUGGGCUCAACCCAUAAACUGCUUUCAAAACUGUUUUUCUUGAGUAGUGCAGAGGUAGGCGGAAUUCCCGGUGUAGCGGUGGAAUGCGUAGAUAUCGGGAGGAACACCAGUGGCGAAGGCGGCCUACUGGGCACCAACUGACGCUGAGGCUCGAAAGUGUGGGUAGCAAACAGG
rnacentral:rRNA from 1 species